UGGGGAAUCAUGGUCAAUGGGCGAAAGCCUGAACCUGCGACGCCGCGUGAGUGAUGAAGGUCGUAAGAUCGUAAAACUCUUUUCAGGGAACUUAAAGCUCCGGCUCUAACAUAGCCUGGAGUCUGACUAUCCCUGGAAUAAGCCCCAGCCAACUACGUGCCAGCAGCUGCGGUAAUACGUAGGGGGCGAGCGUUAUUCGGAAUUACUGGGUGUAAAGGGUAUGUAGGCGGCCUGACAAGUCGCGUGUCAAAGUCCAGCGCUUAACGCUGGGUUCGCACGCGAUACUGUCUGGCUAGAGGGCUGGAGAGGUGAGUGGAAUUCCCGGUGUAGUGGUAAAAUACGUAGAUAUCGGGAGGAACACCAGCGGCGUAGGCGGCUCACUAGACAGUUUCUGACGCUAAGAUACGAAAGCGUGGGGAGCAAACA
rnacentral:rRNA from 1 species